CCACUACGUCUUGAAUCUCUUGGUCUAAAGUUUGCAUAACUACCACAUACUGUGUGUUAUAUCAGCCUCCCAGACCAUAACUAUCGCAGCCCGGGUGUUAUAUCAGCCUCCCUGACUAUAAGUACUGCAGACCGUAUGGUUGAUCGCACUUUGUACCAGGGUUCAAUUUUAACUUCCUGCUGUUCAGAUUUGCACUCUGCUUUCAACAUAUAGUUGGCCCUGUUAACAUAUCUGGUUUCUAUAUCACUCUGUCUACAUAAAAUGCAGGGAUUAGUCCUAUGUAUAGCACACAGGUUUAUAUGGAGGCGUCAAGGCAUUACCUACUUUCUGUUAGGAGGCUGGACGCUAAGAUUUACUUUGGAG